rnacentral:rRNA from 1 species
UACGUAGGUGACCAGCGUUGUCUGGAUUUACUGGGCGUAAAGAGCGCGCAGGCGGUCGUUCAAGUCGAGUGUGAAAGCCCCCGGCUCAACUGGGGAGGGUCACUCGAUACUGAUCGACUUGAAGGCAGGAGAGGGAAGCGGAAUUCCCGGUGUAGUGGUGAAAUGCGUAGAUAUCGGGAGGAACACCAGUGGCGAAGGCGGCUUCCUGGCCUGUUCUUGACGCUGAGGCGCGAAAGCUAGGGGAGCAAACGGG